rnacentral:rRNA from 1 species
AGUAGUCACGUAGUUUCGAUCCGUGGCUACGAGAACGAACGCUGGCGGCAUGCCUAACACAUGCAAGUCGAACGAGACCUUCGGGUCUAGUGGCGCACGGGUGCGUAACGCGUGGGAAUUUGCCUCGGGGUACGGAAUAACUCAGGGAAACUUGAGCUAAUACCAUAUAAUGUCUUCGGACCAAAGAUUUAUCGCCCUGAGAUAAGCCCGCGUAGGAUUAGCUAGUUGGUGGGGUAAAGGCUCACCAAGGCGACGAUCCUUAGCUGGUCUGAGAGGAUGAUCAGCCACACUGGGACUGAGACACGGCCCAGACUCCUACGGGAGGCAGCAGUGGGGAAUAUUGGACAAUGGGCGAAAGCCUGAUCCAGCAAUGCCGCGUGAGUGAUGAAGGCCUUCGGGUUGUAAAGCUCUUUUACUCGGGACGAUAAUGACGGUACCGAGAGAAUAAGCCCGGCUAACUCCGUG